AACCCAUCCCACUGUGCAGACAACAUGUGUUUAUUUUCUUGCGGGACCAGCUUGACAAGACACACAUAUGUAUAUGCCCUACACUUGCGACGCUCCAGCCGGCUGAUAUGUGUAGGCGGCCGUAAGGGUGUCGAGAGCCAAGGCAAAGAGUAGAGCGUACAAACUUCAGCAGAGCUUAAAAUUUACAACAGCAAUCUCUCUCUUUUUCACAUAUACACACACACACACACUUAGCUAAGCGCUCUCAACUUUCAACUGCCGUUAUGAUUUCGCAAUUACACUACAACAACAAGAGCGAUACAAAAACCUCGCCGACGAAGAGCAGACAUUUGCUGGAAAUUUCAACUGCAUUUAUGUGUGUAUGUGUGAGCAACUAUCUCGCUUGCACUUGUGUUUUGGGGUUAUCUUUAGCUUCUUCUUCUAGUUGGUCUGUUGCGCCGUAAGAGGCAAUAGGAGUAUAUGUUGAAAUUUGUCUAAUUUUGAAUUAUUGAUUUUUCCCCAUUAAGAAAUGGCUCCCAGAGCAGAGUGUAUGAUGUAUAAAGUGUGACCGCGGAUUUACAGUAUGACCAUCAGAAAUACAAAUAUAACCCACUUAACCCCAUCAAUUAAAACAGAUAAAACUUUUCUCUUUGCUUACAAAUACGACUGCUAUAUAUUUCACCCGAACUACGCCAAAAGCUCAUAAAGUUUCAUCAUAUAGGUAGGAAUAUUUAAAUA